rnacentral:rRNA from 1 species
UACGGAGGGUGCAAGCGUUGUCCGGAAUUAUUGGGCGUAAAGAGCUCGUAGGCGGUUCGUCGCGUCGGCUGUGAAAACCCGGAGCUCAACUCCGGGCCUGCAGUCGAUACGGGCGGACUAGAGUUCGGCAGGGGAGACUGGAAUUCCUGGUGUAGCGGUGAAAUGCGCAGAUAUCAGGAGGAACACCGGUGGCGAAGGCGGGUCUCUGGGCCGAUACUGACGCUGAGGAGCGAAAGCGUGGGGAGCGAACAGG